rnacentral:rRNA from 1 species
UACGGAGGGUGCAAGCGUUAUCCGGAUUUACUGGGUUUAAAGGGUGCGUAGGUGGGUCUGUAAGUCAGUGGUGAAAUCUCCGGGCUUAACCCGGAAACUGCCAUUGAUACUAUAGGUCUUGAAUUAUCUGGAGGUAAGCGGAAUAUGUCAUGUAGCGGUGAAAUGCUUAGAUAUGACAUAGAACACCAAUUGCGAAGGCAGCUUACUACGGAUCGAUUGACACUGAGGCACGAAAGCGUGGGGAUCAAACAGG